UACGGAGGGUGCAAGCGUUAUCCGGAUUCACUGGGUUUAAAGGGUGCGUAGGUGGGUUGGUAAGUCGGACGUGAAAUCCCUCGGCUUAACCGAGGAACUGCGUCCGAGACUGAAAGGCUUGAAUCCGGGAGAGGGAUGUGGAAUUCCAGGUGUAGCGGUGAAAUGCGUAGAUAUCUGGAGGAACACCGGUGGCGAAGGCGGCAUCCUGGACCGGCAUUGACGCUGAGGCGCGAAAGCUAGGGGAGCAAACGGG
rnacentral:rRNA from 1 species